rnacentral:lncRNA from 1 species
AAUUGCUGGUUGAUGUUAGGCCCCUCCUAUCUGUGCUCUCUCAGCUACAGUUUCCCGUUUGAGCAUAUUCAUUCUUUUUUAUUUUUGCUCUGAACAAAAAUAUUAGAGUUACAAUAUUACUAUAUUCCAGGCCUUGCUAGAAACUGGGGAUAAAUCUAGGAAUAUGGUCGCUUCCCUGGAAGACCUCACAGUCCAGGGAAGCCAAACCCUGCAGACAUGCAGUAGACUUAGUGGUCUCUCUUAAGGUUGCUUGUUGAGUUUUGACAUUGGAGAUUAUGUACAGACUUGAAUGACUAGUUAGCCUCAGGCACAGCAUUCUGUUGCUGGGGGAAUCAGCUGCCCUCCUCAGGCCUGGGCCAAGUACACUUAGAGAUCGCCCUCGUCACCUCUCCCAUCCUUUGCUGAUGCCUCUGUUCUAGUAACCUCUGACUCAGCUUCGCCUUUAGAGAUACUCAUGCUUUCUGGCAACAGAGGUCCUUCAAACCCAAUUCCUAUUAAACUCCAUCACUUACCAGCCUCUUUCAGGGACAGCAGUUAUCCGCAUUUCCAGUACUGUCCUGGCCAGAUGUGUGAGUUUUGGCAAUUCCUUUUCCUCUCUCUGGACUCAGCUUCUUUGUCAACCAGCAUCAUAAUCUCUGCCCAGCCUUCCUUCUAUCCUGGGCUGAUGUGAAGAUUGGAUAAGAAUUGUUCAAGAGGUCGUGUACUGUGCAUAUUGAAUGUGAUUAUAUUGCCAAAUAGCACUGUUUGUUAUAGUUUUUCAUUAAAGAGUAAACUUUGCCUCUUGGAAAUGACUACCUUUUUCAUUCAUUCAACAAAUACCUACUGAGUGCCUUAGUAUAUGUCCAUCACUAUUCUUAGUAGUGGGUAUACAAUAGUAAACAAAACAGA